GCAAACUUGGUCAUUUAGAGGAAGUAAAAGUCGUAACAAGGUUUCCGUAGGUGAACCUGCGGAAGGAUCAUUAUCGUAACUCCGAGGAGGGGCCUGGUCAAGCCCUGCUCCGGUCCAAACGGGCCGUGCAGCGGGCGGCCGACCCCGACUCGCCAAACCAAAAACCCACUUGUGCUCCUUUACGGUCGGAGGGCGACGAUGCCGGCGAAAGCCGCUCGUGCCCGAAGCCGCAUUCAUAACAAAACCACUUGUUCAAAAGAAUGCUCAGCGGGCCUUGUACCGCCUAAAACUGAAACAACUUUCAACAACGGAUCUCUUGGCUCUCGCAUCGAUGAAGAACGCAGC
rnacentral:misc_RNA from 1 species